UCAUAUUCUGUCAUUGCUGUACCACUAGCAGCAACCAUUCCUUGCAGUACUGUUCUAGCAUUCGGUCAUGUACUCAUGUUUUCAUGAUCAACCCAAACUCUGUUGCAUCAUGCAGGCCAUUGACACCAAUGCAAAGAACGAUAAGUUUCAAAGCAAAGACAUGGAAGGAGCUAGCUGUAGGCUGCAUACUGUGCACAAAGCCAACAGCAAAAAAUUAUUGGAGCUUAAUUCUGGUGCGAGUAACCAUAUCUGUGGUAAAAACAAAUGGUUCACAAAUUCGAGACUGAUCCCCAAAGCGAUGACUUAGAAGAUAAUGAGCUGUAUGUUUCGAUUGGACAACUAACUGGUAAAGGCUACGUUGUGAUCGAUGAUGCACAAGGGAGAAGUUACCAUAAGAUUGGCCAGAAAUUCCAACCAUUUUGUUGGAAAUGGCUCAUUGGACCUUGAUACGAUGGCAUAUAUAUUUGAAGUCUUCAAAGGUUCAGUUCUAGAAAGAGAUGAAGAUCAUUCGGAGGAGAGUCAGGGGGGAGAAUAUGAAAUGGCUGAGGUGUCAUCAUCAUAUCACGAAGGAUAAAUCUUCACUCCUGAAAGAGAAGCGCAGCUACGGAGGAAAAAAAAGCUCAAUGUUGCUGGCUAUGGAUCGUUAACUUGCAAGCUCAAAGGUGAUGUGGAAAAAAAGGUGGAAUAAGAUUGAAGGACAUAUACCUAUGCAAAGGAUCCUGGCGUAAUCUCAUAUCAGUAUCCCAGCUAGAUGUCCUUGGAUACAAUUUCUUGUUUUCAGGGGAUCAUCACUGCGAAAUCAAAUACAAGGACGAGAAGGAUCUGGUGGUAAUAGCCCACAUUGAUGGUGGCAUCUUAAACUAAUAUGUUGAGUUCCUUCACUCAAAGGAGUGAACCCUUUCUUUCUUACUCAAAACUCAUGUGCCCCAACACGUGUAGAUAGUUUACAGAGUUGAAGCAACUAUAAUGCAAAUCACCACUGUGAAAGUUGGCCUAUUCUGUAAUCUUUCAGAAUCAGAUUGAA